UCAAAAUGUUUUUGCAAUGGACGCAUUUUAAUAUUGUAAUAAUUGGAGAAAUUUUGUUGUGAUCAUUGUUGAUGUGUAUUAAUAUGUUCAUCGAUCAAUAAGGCAAUUAUUUUCUUGAAGCUUCUAUUAGUUUUCACGAAUUAUUUUGGUCUUACAUUUUUUUUGUGCAAUGUUCAUUGCAUUCAUAAUGUCUUACUAGGUAUAUCAAGAAGGCUGGCUGCAUUCCCUAGCUGGGCGGCUGAGGUUAGUACAAGGUCGAUGGUAUUGUUUUUACUAAAACUGUUGUUAACACACAUUUAUAUUUAAUGCUUUCUUAUUUCUUGAAAUGUAUUUAUUGUCCCUGUUUCAUUAGUAUUUCUGGUAGUGUUGGCGAAAAUUAAUCAUAUUGGUAGUAUCGAUAACUGCUUAAGCAUCAAUACUAUGAAUAGUAACAAUAGUUUCAAUAGUAAGUAUAUCGAUUCUAUCAAAAAUAUCCUUUUGAGAUGCGCCUAAACUGACAAUACGGGUAUAUGUAUUGUCGGGUUAUGCGUUAUCAAAUAAAUGUGCUUAUUUGGUAUACGACAGAAUGUGAAUUGCACAGAUUCGUGACAAAUCUAUUAACUGGUCUGAAUAACAAUUUUUUAUUUAAAUUUAUUUUCUACUUAAUUGGUCUUGGUGACUUAAAUGAAUACUUUUUCGUACAUAUUAAUAUCUAACGUUUGUCUAUCAUUAGUGCCUUGGAGAUUCAUAAUACCCAUAUGUCGGUAGCAUUUACGGUGACGUAGACUGAUGAUAUGUCACAAGGGAUCAUUGAGAGAAAGCCAUCGCUAUUCGUGGCUAAGAUACGUAAUUAAGAGAUGUAUUUCUAGUCAUUUGUCUUGUCUAUGUAAGCAAUGACGAUGAAAGGGCCAGCAAAGGGAGCUAUAACUUUGGUUCUGUGGCUAUAUUAUAUAAUAAUGAUAACGUAAUACAAUAGUUGCUUGUAUUUCAUUGCUAACAACUCGAAACUAUUAAAAUCUGAGCAUGUUUAAAGCGAUAGCGCCCAGAAACCAGGGUUCUAGGCGCUAUAAGACUUUAAUUAUUUCCAGGCCUCUUGAGGUCCAUCUGA